rnacentral:rRNA from 1 species
AGCAGCCGCGGUAAUUCCAGCUCCAAUAGCGUAUAUUAAAGUUGUUGCAGUUAAAAAGCUCGUAGUUGAAUUUCGGGAUUGACACAUCGGUCGUGCCUUAAGGGGUAUGAACUGGUGUAGUCAAUUUCUCACCUUCUGGAGAACCGCGAUGCCCUUAAUUGGGUGUCACGGGGAACCAGGACCUUUACUUUGAAAAAUUAGAGUGUUUAAAGCAGGCAUUUUGCUUGAAUACAUUAGCAUGGAAUAAUAAAAUAGGACGGCAUGAUUCUAUUUUGUUGGUUUCUAGGAUCACCGUAAUGAUUAAUAGGGAUAGUUGGGGGCAUUAGUAUUCAAUUGUCAGAGGUGAAAUUCUUGGAUUUAUUGAAGACUAACUACUGCGAAAGCAUUUGCCAAGGAUGUUUUCAUUAAUCAAGAACGAAAGUUAGGGGAUCGAAGACGAUCAGAUACCGUCGUAGUCUUAACCAUAAACUAUGCCGACUAGGAAUCAGACGAUGUUAAUUUUUAAUGACUCGUUUUGGCA